rnacentral:tRNA from 1 species
CAGAGAAUAGUUUAAAAAAAAUAUUAGCUUUGGGAGUUAGUGAUAGAAAUUGAAUCUUUCUCUGA